GCCUGGCUGGCUCAGCUGGUAGAGCAUGUGACUCUUGAUCUCGGGGUUGUGAGUUCGAACCCCAUGUUGGGUG
rnacentral:tRNA from 1 species